CGAUCAUAGAACAGAAAAGUAGGACAACAUGUGACAGGACAACAUUCUACCUACAUGUGAAAAGUUGGUCCCCUUGCUGCUUGUGAACUCCUUUCAAGUACUGGAAGAUCACAAUGAGGUCUCCCUGGAGCCUUCUCUUCACCUGCUGGAGGUGACUUCUGAGUGAGCACGUUAACUGUUGGUCAAGAACCUUUCCAAAAUUGUAGUUGAGCUUCCUUUACAGAGAAAAACUAAGGAUGUUUAAAUUGGUGCAGAAGAGGCCCAUGUCACAGAGGUGGCAAACACAUGGUGCUGAAGGUGCAGCUGAGGAGUUUGAGCUGGGCAGCUGCAGCAUGGAGGAAGUGCUGCUUUCUGGGUUGCACAGCUAACACUUGGAUGACUUUGGGUUCUUCUAAGUCCUCCCAUGAGUGACUGUUUUCUGCGACUCAGCUCCCAUAUCUGCUAGGAGAACAACAGUGUGUUUGUCAACCCACGGGAGUGAAAGAGUCAGCUCUGCUAAAUGCUGCAACCUCUUUGGCUGGACAGUGUUGUGGACAGUGUCUCUUCAGUUGAGGUAUUGUAAAAACCUUAAGCUUGGUGUCUUACCACUUAUGUUUAUAUAACUGGGUGUUCUUAAUAAUGUGUCCUCUGGACUGAGCUAGUGUCACUGUUAAUUUAAAAGUGACUUGCAGUAUCUUUGCUGUCUUUGUGAUUUUUGAAAAUGCCUGCAUUCUUUUGCUGUCUGGCUCCUUUAUAAAAAAAGAAAUAAGGGAGGAGUUUGUCCUUUUUGUUUUGAUUUCAUCCUUGGGAGAGAGAAGAUUAGAGCUAUGAAAAUUCUUUUAAAUAUAGGACUCAGAAUUCAGUCACCAGAUAUGAUUAAAAAAUUGGAUUUCUAGCUCUACCUACCUAUUGUUGCUGAAAAAAAGCAGAGGAAAAAGGUAGCGUGACACAUAGAGUACACCUAUAAUGAUUUCAUUCACUGCAGAGCCAUCCAUCAACAAAACGAUAACUAACCAACCCUUUUGUCAACAAAGCACUAUUCAAUUUAUCAUUUAAGUUGGUAGGUAAACAAGAGAGUUAAUGAACCAGGGACAAGUUGGUCAUGAUGGACAAGAAAUAUA
ensembl:lncRNA